rnacentral:pre_miRNA from 1 species
GGCCCAAAUUUCAAGUAGAGUAGAUUAGUGGUGUCAGCUGACUCUACUUAACUAUUUAAUUCAAGUUUGGGCCC